rnacentral:rRNA from 1 species
UACAGAGGGUGCGAGCGUUGUUCGGAAUUACUGGGCGUAAAGCGCGCGCAGGCGGCCCUUUAAGUCCGUCGGUCAAAUGCCGGGGCUCAACCCUGGGAUGCCGGUCGAUACUGCCGGACUAGAGUUCGGAAGAGGCGAGUGGAAUUCCCGGUGUAGCGGUGAAAUGCGCAGAUAUCGGGAGGAACACCAAUGGCGAAGGCAGCUCGCUGGGACGUUACUGACGCUGAGACGCGAAAGCGUGGGGAGCAAACAGG